UAGUCAUAUGCUUGUCUCAAAGAUUAAGCCAUGCAUGUCUAAGCACAAGCCGAUUAAUGGUGAAGCCGCGAAUGGCUCAUUACAACAGCCAUAGUUUCUUAGAUCUUACUUUUCUAAUUGGAUAACUGUGGUAAUUCUAGAGCUAAUACACGCAAAAAAGCUCAGACCUUACGGAAUGAGCGCAUUUAUUAGAACAAAAACCAAUCGGGCUUCGGUCCGUCAUUUGGUGAAUCUGAAUAACUUUGCUGAUCGCACGGUCUUCGUACCGGCGACAUAUCUUUCAAAUGUCUGCCUUAUCAACUUUCGAUGGUAGUUUAUGCGCCUACCAUGGUUGUAACGGGUAACGGAGAAUAAGGGUUCGACUCCGGAGAGGGAGCCUGAGAAACGGCUACCACAUCCAAGGAAGGCAGCAGGCACGCAAAUUACCCACUCCCGGCACGGGGAGGUAGUGACGAAAAAUAACGAGACGGCUCGCUAUGCGGUCCGUCAUCGGAAUGGGUACAAUUUAAAUCCUUUAACGAGGAUCUAUUG
rnacentral:rRNA from 1 species